UGCGUAGGUGGUGAGGUAAGUCGGAUGUGAAAGCUCCGAGCUCAACUCGGAAAUGGCAUUGGAAACUACCUUGCUCGAGGGUUUGAGGGGGGACUGGAAUACUUGGUGUAGCAGUGAAAUGCGUAGAUAUCAAGUAGAACACCAGUGGCGAAGGCGAGUCCCUGGAAAACUCCUGACACUGAGGCACGAAAGCUAGGGAGGCAAACA
rnacentral:rRNA from 1 species